AGAAAAGCUCCCGAAACUGAAGGACUGCCAGGCAGCAGAGUUCCGGAGGGCUCCCAGGACCUUCAACCAGAAAGAGACAGAGCAUAUGCGCAUAUGUAUGUCUGAGCCCGUGCACGGAGGAGGAGUAUGAACAGACACCGCGGGACAGAUGGCUGGAGUUUAGUCCCUUCCUUCGGGGCUCUUCACCACUCCUUGGGCUUCCCUUCUCCUGUCCAGCCCUGUCCUGGGUGCACAGAGAGGGAAGUCACUCCAUUCCUGCCCUUGAGGAGCUCCCAGACCCAGGGCAGGAGCAGGAUGCAGACAAGUAGACAGCACCCUGGGGUCCCUGCAAGGAAUGUACUAUAGAGCCAAUUUUACCGGCAAAGGAAUGGAAGAUCUGAAAGGCUAGGCGAUCCCACAAGCAUCGAGGAGCAGGCUGGAAUUUGAACCAAUCGGCAUGAUUCCCAAGCUCAAGCUUUUGGCCACCCCUGCACUGCCAGGGACAAAAAAAAAAAAAAAAAAAAACCCUGGGAGGAGAGCCAAGCUAGGGAGUCAAGACCCUCCAGCCAGGUCUGGAUGGGAGGCAGGUGCCUCCACCCUGGUCCCAGAGCAAGUUCUGCUGGCUUCAGCCACCUGACUUCCCUGUGAAGGUGGGUAGAGGCCAGAGCAGACUGUGUGUGAUUCUGGCCCCAGCCCCAGCACCUCUACCCCCACCUUUACUACCCCUAGGCUGCGGGAAGAGGCUUUGCCCAGCAAUAGUCCUGAUCUAAUGGAUCCUUGAAGCACAAUAAACAGAUAGUAUUUCUG
rnacentral:lncRNA from 1 species